AGGUCAUCUGAAGACUGAAUAUUCACAGAAACAAAAAAGCAAAGAAAAGUUUCCUGCCUGCUGACUUUACCUGCUGACAGAUUCCAAGGAUGAUGAUUGUACACUGCCUUCCAGAGAAUCCUGCAAGGUAUUCAAAGCCUACGGAUGCUGCUGUAAAUCGGCAGCAAACAGGAGUACCAGGACACCUGCCAGUCAGGAUCAGCAUGAGAGGAUCAGUUAUUGACUCCAAUGAAACCAGGAUUUUCAUCUACUGUCCCAAAGUUUAAAAACCAUUCAGAGAGUUCUUCUAAGUGUGGUAAAUGAAACCUCCAGAAAGGCAGAGGGGCUCUGUAUGUGCUCAGCUUGAUUGACACCAGUACACCCACUGGCCUUCAGCAAUUACAGCUCAAAAGGAAACCAGCACAACUGGGAGCAGAUGGAAUGUUCUGCUUAUGGAAAACUGCUCCAGAAACGCAAACCUUGCACCUGAGAGUGCAGCAGCCUCACCUGCAGCCACCAGGAGGAAAUUCCUGCUGCACAUGGAGCUGCACAGCUGCCUGCAGGAGGGAGGUGAGUAAUUAAUUACCUGUUCCACUGGGGGCUGACCCACAGCUCAUUGUGGUCCUUCCACCCAAAUGGGCUUUGGGGCUUGCCCAGGUGCCUCCAUAAAUGCUGAAACUGCUCCUAAUUUGCUGCCUUCCCCAUCCCAUCGGCGGAGUCACACAAUUCCUUAAGCACUGGAUAAGCACAGAUAAUGUCUCCACACUAUUUCAGCUGAUAAUCACAAUUAAGAAUAAUUUUAGAACUCCUUUUUCCUGGUCCCUUUAAUAUAGUAGCAUCCAAAUGAUUAGCUUGUCAUCAUUUGGAUAUGCAUUCAAGUUAGUUUGUCUUUUUCCUGUGUAACUUCUUUUGGCAUCCACAAAUGAAAACUUCAAAGU